UCGAGUCGGCCUGCGCGGAAGAUGUAACGGGGCUAAACCAUGCACCGAAGCUGCGGCAGCGAACGUAUCACUUAAAGCGAUUCAGCGGGUUACGAUUGACGGAGCGAAGCGACGUCAAAGCGUAUACAAAGUCGAGUCGGUUUAAGGAUACGUUCGUUGGGUAGGGGAGCGUUCUGUAAGCCUGUGAAGGUGUGUCGUGAGGCAUGCUGGAGGUAUCAGAAGUGCGAAUGCUGACAUAAGUAACGAUAAAGCGGGUGAAAAGCCCGCUCGCCGGAAGACCAAGGGUUCCUGUCCAACGUUAAUCGGGGCAGGGUGAGUCGACCCCUAAGGCGAGGCCGAAAGGCGUAGUCGAUGGGAAACGGGUUAAUAUUCCCGUACUUGGUGUUACUGCGAAGGGGGGACGGAGAAGGCUAUGUUGGCCGGGCGACGGUUGUCCCGGUUUAAGCGUGUAGGUGUGUGUUCCAGGUAAAUCCGGUUCACUUUAACACUGAGGCGUGACGACGAGGCACUACGGUGCUGAAGCAACAAAUGCCCUGCUUCCAGGAAAAGCCUCUAAGCAUCAGGUAACAUCAAAUCGUACCCCAAACCGACACAGGUGGUCAGGUAGAGAAUACCAAGGCGCUUGAGAGAACUCGGGUGAAGGAACUAGGCAAAAUGGUGCCGUAACUUCGGGAGAAGGCACGCUGACACGUAGGUGAAGUGAUUUACUCAUGGAGCUGAAGUCAGUCGAAGAUACCAGCUGGCUGCAACUGUUUAUUAAAAACACAGCACUGUGCAAACACGAAAGUGGACGUAUACGGUGUGACGCCUGCCCGGUGCCGGAAGGUUAAUUGAUGGGGUCAGCGCAAGCGAAGCUCCUGAUCGAAGCCCCGGUAAACGGCGGCCGUAACUAUAACGGUCCUAAGGUAGCGAAAUUCCUUGUCGGGUAAGUUCCGACCUGCACGAAUGGCGUAAUGAUGGCCAGGCUGUCUCCACCCGAGACUCAGUGAAAUUGAACUCGCUGUGAAGAUGCAGUGUACCCGCGGCAAGACGGAAAGACCCCGUGAACCUUUACUAUAGCUUGACACUGAACAUUGAGCCUUGAUGUGUAGGAUAGGUGGGAGGCUUUGAAGUGUGGACGCCAGUCUGCAUGGAGCCGACCUUGAAAUACCACCCUUUAAUGUUUGAUGUUCUAACGUGGACCCGUAAUCCGGGUUGCGGACAGUGUCUGGUGGGUAGUUUGACUGGGGCGGUCUCCUCCUAAAGAGUAACGGAGGAGCACGAAGGUUGGCUAAUCCUGGUCGGACAUCAGGAGGUUAGUGCAAUGGCAUAAGCCAGCUUGACUGCGAGCGUGACGGCGCGAGCAGGUGCGAAAGCAGGUCAUAGUGAUCCGGUGGUUCUGAAUGGAAGGGCCAUCGCUCAACGGAUAAAAGGUACUCCGGGGAUAACAGGCUGAUACCGCCCAAGAGUUCAUAUCGACGGCGGUGUUUGGCACCUCGAUGUCGGCUCAUCACAUCCUGGGGCUGAAGUAGGUCCCAAGGGUAUGGCUGUUCGCCAUUUAAAGUGGUACGCGAGCUGGGUUUAGAACGUCGUGAGACAGUUCGGUCCCUAUCUGCCGUGGGCGCUGGAGAACUGAGGGGGGCUGCUCCUAGUACGAGAGGACCGGAGUGGACGCAUCACUGGUGUUCGGGUUGUCAUGCCAAUGGCACUGCCCGGUAGCUAAAUGCGGAAGAGAUAAGUGCUGAAAGCAUCUAAGCACGAAACUUGCCCCGAGAUGAGUUCUCCCUGAGACUUAGAGUCUCCUGAAGGAACGUUGAAGACGACGACGUUGAUAGGCCGGGUGUGUAAGCGCAGCGAUGCGUUGAGCUAACCGGUACUAAUGAACCGUGAGGCUUAACCUUACA
rnacentral:rRNA from 1 species